ensembl:lncRNA
AGCUUUCCUUCCCGUCUACAGGUCACACCUGCAAAGCCCAUUUCCCAGGCGUACGAGAACUGAAAGGCCCUUGUGAAGCGUCAGAAGGCAGAGUCCUUCGUCAUACGUGUAGUUACUCCCCUCGUGUGUGCUGGGACUUACCAACCCUUCCGACCUGGUUUUCAGAAAGUGACUCAUAUUUUCCACUCGUAUUUCAUUUGUUUACAUCAGCGGUUCUCAAGCUGUGGUCCGAGGAUGCUGGCGACCCUCAAGACCCUUUCAAGAGACCCACCAGGCAAAACUAAGACUCAUGACCAUACCAACGUCGUUCACUCUUUACCUUCUCAUUUCCUCUCGAAAGUACAAAUGAUGAAUUCUAGAGGCUGAAGCCUGCUCUGAUAGCUGAUGGACUCACGCUUGUGCAUUCAUGGGCUUUGAAAGUCUUUCAACCUUAAUUUCUCCUGUAGGGAAGCCUGGUGUUCUGCAGGCCAUGGGCUCGCAGAGUUGGACACAACUGAGCGACUGAACAACAACAAAUACUGAUAGAUGUGAACCAUAUAAACAAAAGCUCUUUGGGAAUAUUCAAUAAUUUUUAAGAGUGCAAAGGAGUCUGGCUACAAACAGUUUGAGAACUGCUAGUUUCUAUAUUUAUUAAAUCACACAUUUCUGAUAUCAAGCACAAUUGGCAUAAGAAAGACUUGGGAAUAAGCGUAACUGACUUGCAAUAAAUAAACACAGAGUUGACUGGAGGGCAUUUUGCAGAAAGGCCAAGAGCACUAAGCCUGCCCUGAGCAUCGGCUAGGAUGCUGCGGAAUGAGGAGAUGGGCAUCUGUCUGCGCGGAGGCAGACGAGAGGCAUCCACGGUACCCGAGGCGACGGAGUGACAGCGACGUUGCUGUUACGGAACACGUGCUGCGCGCCAGGGCCUGUGCUCAGUGUCUCCGUGGAGCCUCACCACCACCCUGAGAGAGGGCUUCUGCUUAUACAGGUGGGGCAGCUGAGGCUGAGAGGGGCCGACACUAAUAAGCCCGAGACCACCCCCCUGCC